UAUAAGUGCAACCAUAAGUUUCCACGUCCAACUUUGAUCGUUCGUCUUAUUUGAAAGUUUUUUAUAAUUAAUAUUUUUAUUGUUAUGAGAUGAUAAAAUAUAAAUAGUACUUUACUCGUGACUUAUGUUUUUAAAUUUUUUCAAAAAUUUUUCAAAUAAGACGGACGGUCAAAGUUGGGCGCGGAAAACCAUAGUUGCACUUAUA
rfam:Oryza nivara chromosome 10, whole genome shotgun sequence.